GAUAAUCUCAGCCCUCAAGGGUUUACAGUCAAAAUAAUUUCUUUGCAGCUCCUUGGGUACAUUAGAACAAGCUGAGCAGCACUGAUGGAAGUGCUGAGAUAGUUCGCUGUAUUUGCAGGGCUGAUGUCUUAAAAAACCCAGUUGGGCAUGGAUGAUUAAAUCUGUUGCUGCUGUCAGGUUGGUAGGAAUGCUUUCUGUUUCAAAAGCCUUUCACCAAUUGCACCUGUAAUCACAGAAGAAUCUCUCAGUAAAGCACCUCAGGCACGAAGGGAAUGGAGAAGUGCACGCAGCAGGAUGCUCUGUCUGACCCUGUUUCUCCAUAGUCCCUCUGCUGACAAAGCCUUCCCACACUUGUGUGAAAUGGUGAUGUGGGAGGGGGAUUCCCUGGCUCCUGUCCCUCCUGACAUUUUCAAUGCGUUUUCCUAGGCCUGUUUUUCCAUCCUGCAGUGUAAAAGUUAAUUUUGAUGAAAUCUUGAGUGAAUUAAACUGCAACACAGCAAUGUCCUUUCUCAACUAAUAUUUGCUGUCUGCCUUAUUUAUGUGGAGAAGAGGCACUUGGAGAUGCCAAUGAUCCUGUCAUUUAUUUGCCUUGUGCAUCGUGCCUUUGGCUACUAGAAUUAAACUGGAAAAUACAAUUAAAAAGCAUUAGCUGUAGCAGACAUACAAAAAAAUAUCAUUACAUGCUUGACAAUGUUCUCCUUCAUACUGUUAAUCCCUGCAGAUCUACCUGUGCUAUUAGAUUUCAUAUACAGAUUUUAUUUUUCUCUGAAGACUACCUUAAUUGGAAUGAGCAUUCCUGUUUUUAUAAGGGAAGAGAAGGAAGAUGUCACCAUGCUGGAAAGCCUCACCUGACUUUUCUUGGCUGAGACUGUGAAAUAACAAGGGGCAUCUUCCCUCCCUUGACUGCCCACACAGACCACCAGAACCAGGAUUUGCCAUGACUGUCUUAUGAUGGGAAAUGUUGGG